AUAAAAAAAUGACUUUUAUGAGAUAACACCAUAUAUGGCAGCUUACAUUCAGUGUAAGAGGCAGAACUAAAUAUCUCUACGUGGCUAAUUUCAGACAGCUCCUAAAGUUGAGCAAAAUUUGCUCUCACAUUUAGAAUUAUGGAGGUGUUAAAGCCAGGUUUAUCCAUAAAUACUUCACCAAAUAUUCAAGUAAUGUCCAAAAUACCUGCACAGCACAUAACCUGCACCCCUAUUUGGCACUUUCAGCUAGAACUGUAGAUUUUGCUGCUCAUGUGACUAUAGCAUACCUAAACUCUAAGAAUUGCUAUCACAAUUUAAGCUAUGAGUGUGGCAUUAUGGAACGUAUACCAAAUGCUUCUAGUUGCAGAGCAUUCAUGAGGAAAUAAAAAUCAGGUUGUUGCAUUUAAGUUGCGGCCAGUACAUAGUCUUUCCAGGGGCUAGGGAGAAACAGGUAUCUCUCUCAAUUACUGGUACUAUAUACAGUGAAAACGUUUGUUCAAAAUUCAGGAUAAAAACACUACCAGUAACAAUUUAUGAAUACUUAUUUACACAGGAUACUUUUCGUUAGAAUUACAGACAUCAAAGUAGACAAAGGAAUAUGUGCAAUUUUGCAGAAGCAUUGAAAACACUCAAAACUAUAAAUAGUUUGAUAAUUUUACACACAGGCUGAUGUCGAUCUACUGAGGAAAAACUAAGGUUUUGUGCCACAACUAUAAAUUAAGUACAGUAAUUUAUAAUCAUUCUGGCAACACAGAUAGCUGCACUGAACAGUGCAAUACUACUGAAUCAAUCCACUGAUCUAAUGAAGAUCAAAGUACAAAUCUGUAUUUUUAUUGAUUUGGCAGCGUUGCUUAUGGAGAAACAAAUGCACUAGUCAAACCAGCACAUUUUCAUACUGCUCCAGUUACAAAAAACAUCCAAGACUUUCAUAUUAGCUACAAAUAUUUCAUAACUCCAUUAUUUUACCCCAAAUGAUGACAUCCAUGUGAAUUUUAUAAGCAAAGAUACUCAGUUUGGAUCCUUCAUUCUGUUACACUAACAAACAUACACCACCACUUAAUAAAUAGAAAUGCAGCAGUUCAUUCACAUAAUAGCAAAGAUUUUUGUACCCUAAUCCACCACUGCAGUUCAGUUUGUACAAAACAGUCUUUUCUACAGAGUGGAAAAAAAUACCUUCUUUUUAUCAAGGUGCGAGCUAAGCUUUGAAAAUUAAAUGAAUGUGCUUUUAUUUUUUAUGGACAAUAAAAGUUUCAUGAACUUUCCAUUCUAUCUGAAAAUGUGUAAAAUCAGUCAGAUAUGGAUUUCUUCAUUAUUUUACAUUUGAUGGAUUAUUUCAAUUUCACUGACGUUGUGCUUUUAUUCCUCUUGAACAAUACUGUUCCAAAAACUGUUAUGUAGAUUAAAUCAAUCCAAAUGACAACUUCAGAGUUCUAGAAACACAAGGGUCCUCAUUGUAAUACAAGGCCAACCUAAAGUAAGGAGCAAAAUGCAGUAGUUAAUGCAAGUAUAGCAACAAAUAUUGGCUUUUUGAACUUAAUUAUGAAUCUUAGAUGUUCAAUUUAAAAACAAAUUAAAAGUUUUGUCUGUUUUGA